UUUUACACAUUAAUUUAUAAAUAUCUAUUGAAUAAAAAUGAAGCCAUGUUUUUCAUAAUUGUUGUACAGAUAGGUGGCAAAUUAAAGGAACACCCUUAAGAAAGGAGUUAGGGGUGAGGGCAUUUUUCUGGCAUGGUUUGGGUCCACUUAUCCCCUUAAAGGAAAUGGUCACUGCACAUCAAUAUGAAGUGGUUUUGAAUGAUCACCUUUUUUCCUAUGAUGAAGCAUUUCUAUCCUGUUACAAACGGACAAUGCACCAUCCAUAGGGCACAAGGGGUCAAUGAACGGUUAAUGAUGUGAAGGAUAUGUCAUGGCCUAACCUGAUCUCAACCCAGUUGAACAUCUAUGGGAGAUUUUAGACCAAUGUGUUAUGUCUAUGUGAUGUCUUCAUCAUUAUCAAGACAGCAAAUGAUGAUCUUUUGGAACAAUAGUGUGCCAUUCCAGCAGUACAAUUCCAGAGACUUCUAGAAUCAAUGCCAAGGCACAUUGAAGCUGUCCUGGGAACACAUGGUGGCUUAACACUGUUUAUUAAGGUACUGUUAAUUUUCCCUUUAAUUUCUCACCCAUCUGUAUAAUGUCACUGUCACAUGGAAACCUAGUAUCUCCAGAUUUGAUCAUUUUUCCUUCUUUAAGUUCUUUAUAAAACAAUGCUAUUGGUCACCCUUUACAUUUAACUGUGGGUUUCACAAAUAUUUAACCAAUGAAAAGUAUUAAAAAGUGUUUGUGACUAAAUCUCAAUCUCUAAAACUUUUGGUAAAGCCUCAUAACUCCACCCCACCUACAUGUUGAAGGAUUGAUGUGCCACACAGCAGAGCUGAACGUAAACAGUGAUCUUGAAGUAACCACUUCAUCCUGCUCAGGAUUGAGGAGGAUCCAGAGUUUAUCCAGGAUUAAUGGGCAAGAGGCAAGAAUAUAUCUUACAUCAGUCCAUCACAGGAGACCACGGACACACACACAGACA